AGUUUCACAUGCUCUCUGUUUCAGAGCUAGCAUCUACACUCAGGUAAUUAGUCCCUUCAUAUUUCCUGUCCCAGUAUUGCUGAAGAAGAGGAAAACUGGAGGAAAACAUGGAGUUUGCAAUUAUCAGCCCUUCCCAUGCAGCCUUCAGGACUGGCUCCAGAGGUGCAGCUCCCUCAGGUCCAGGAUGUUUGUUAUGGAGAAUUGGAAAGACACCAUCUAAGUUUAGCUGGAUGGCAAAGGGGUGAAACAGAGAACCUGCUGAAAUCUGCUUCUUUCAUCCUGCUGCCUUCCUGAGGAGAGAGAUUGCCAACUUUCUUCUGUGAGGAUGAGGUGCACAGUGGUCUCCUGAAGCUUGGAGGUCUCACAGCUCCAGCCCUGCUCCCUUACCUGUUUCAGAGUAAGCAUAACCAAAACCUUAAGGCCAGGGAAAAAUCGAGGCAGAAAAGAGACACUGGGUAGAAAAGACAUGUACAUAUUUUUCAGUAGUGACUGGAAAAUAAAACUUCCCAGAGGUCUAAAAUAGUCCAAAGGCAAUGAAAUCAGAGCACAAUAAAA